CGAUUGUAGACAUAUGCUUGUCUCAAAGAUUAAGCCAUGCAUGUCUAAGUAUAAGCAAUUAUACGGCGAAACUGCGAAUGGCUCAUUAAAUCAGUUAUCGUUUAUUUGAUAGUACCUUGCUACAUGGAUAACCGUGGUAAUUCUAGAGCUAAUACAUGCUAAAAAUCCCGACUUCGGAAGGGAUGUAUUUAUUAGAUUAAAAACCAAUGCCCUUCGGGGCUCUCUGGUGAUUCAUAAUAACUUCUCGAAUCGCACGGCCUUGCGCCGGCGAUGGUUCAUUCAAAUUUCUGCCCUAUCAACUUUCGACGGCUGGGUCUUGGCCAGCCAUGGUGACAACGGGUAACGGAGGGUUAGGGCUCGACCCCGGAGAAGGAGCCUGAGAAACGGCUACUACAUCCAAGGAAGGCAGCAGGCGCGCAAAUUACCCAAUCCCGACUCGGGGAGGUAGUGACAAUAAAUACUGAUACAGGGCUCUUUUGGGUCUUGUAAUUGGAAUGAGUACAAUUUAAAUCCCUUAACGAGGAACAAUUGGAGGGCAAGUCUGGUA
rnacentral:rRNA from 1 species